rnacentral:rRNA from 1 species
GGCGAACGCUGGCGGCGUGCUUAACACAUGCAAGUCGAACGGAAAGGCCCUGCUUUUGUGGGGUGCUCGAGUGGCGAACGGGUGAGUAACACGUGAGUAACCUGCCCUUGACUUUGGGAUAACUUCAGGAAACUGGGGCUAAUACCGGAUAGGAGCUCCUGCUGCAUGGUGGGGGUUGGAAAGUUUCGGCGGUUGGGGAUGGACUCGCGGCUUAUCAGCUUGUUGGUGGGGUAGUGGCUUACCAAGGCUUUGACGGGUAGCCGGCCUGAGAGGGUGACCGGCCACAUCGGGACUGAGAUACGGCCCAGACUCCUACGGGAGGCAGCAGUGGGGAAUAUUGCACAAUGGGCGGAAGCCUGAUGCAGCAACGCCGCGUGCGGGAUGACGGCCUUCGGGUUGUAAACCGCUUUCGCCUGUGACGAAGCGUGAGUGACGGUAAUGGGUAAAGAAGCACCGGCUAACUACGUG